GCAUCCAUAGCUGAAUGGUUAAAGCGCUCAACUAGGCAAAUUCGUAGGUUCGAUUCCCACGGGAUGCA